rnacentral:lncRNA from 1 species
AAAAAUAGUUUCAAAAAAUAUUUUCGAAUUACAAAAAGAAAAUUUGAAGAAAAAAAUUCGAAAAAAAUUAAAAAAAAAAUUUAUAAAAAAAUUCGAAUUUGAAAACAUAUAAUCUAAAACUAUAAAAAAAUAUUAUUUUUUUUAAUUUUUUAUAUAUCUAGGGUAUUAGUGUCUUUUUACAUAUUAAAUGAAACAUUUUGGUCAUUUUCCUCCUUGUGGUCUAUUUUUGUGACCAAAACUUGAAAAUGGUCUAUUUAUAAGAAUUGCCCUA